CGCCCGUUCUGGGUAACAAAUUAAUGUUGACCAUGUUACUACAGAUUAGCGACAGCAUAUGAUGCUUGAGAUCCGUUUGACAAGCAGACGACUGUUCAUGUGAGCACGAGGUUCGACAAUUCAGGUUUUUCACAGUGAAGAGGUAUUGUAUGAAAAUGAUGAUAUUAAUGAAGGAAAGUAUCGUUUUUCUCAUUUUCUGUGCUUUGUCGAUGGCUCGGGACAUCUUCACCUGUACUUUAACGUCCUGUCAUAAUGGCGGUUCGUGUCUAGAGGGAAGAUGUGUAUGUGCAGAGGGGUUUUACGGAACAAGUUGUGAAGGUAACCCUGCUUUUUGCAUUCAGUAAAUUUCUUUAUUUCCGUUGAGGAAAAA